CCAAAAAAUAUUAUUAUAAAAAAACCAUUAAGAAAAAUAAGUGCCAGGGAUAUAGCUCAGUAGCAUAGCACCUUUCUGGCAAGCACAUGAUCCUGAGUUCAAUUCCCGGUACAAAAAAAAGCCACAGCCAGGGGGAAAUAUUUGCAAACUAUAUCUGAUAAAGAACUUAUGUCUGGAACCUAUAAAGAAUGCCUACAAGUCAACAUUAAGAUGACAAACAAGCCAAUUACAAAAUGGGCCAAGACUUGAAGAGACAUUUCACCAAAUGAGAUGUACAAAUAGGCUAAUCACAACAUGAAAAAUGUCAACAUGAGGAGUCAUGAGGGAAAUGGAAAUUGAAAACACAAUGUAAUAUCAUUUAUAUUAUUACACUGAAACAGCUAUAAUCAAAAAGACUGAGGAAGAUGUGGGGAAACUGAAAGCCCUAUACAAUGCUGAUGAGACUGCAAAAGGUGUGACCGUUUUAAAAAAUGUUUCAGCAGUUUUUUAAAGUAUUACAUGUAGCCUUAAUCAUAUAGCUCAGAAAAUUCCACUCGUGAGUUCCUCCAAGGGAAACGAAAACACAUGUCCACCAAAAAUACACACAAAUAUUCACAGGCAACAGUGUAAUGGCCAAAAAGUGGAACUCCCCCGCAAAUCCAUUAACUCAUGAGUGGAAUAACAAAAGGUGGUACUACACCACAGGAUACUAUGGGCUUUUUACUGCUGUUAUGGUUUACAUCCAGAUGUUUCCCCCAAAGCCUUAUGAGCUCACAGGAGGGGUUUUGUGAGGUGUGUCACCAGGAGUGUGGCCUGGAAGGGCUUUUUCCCUCCCUCCUCCUGUGAUUACUCUGCUUCCUGUUGCAGCAACCUCCUGGGCCAUGCCCUCUGUCAUGCUGCUUUGCCUUAGAACCAGCUGACUAUGGGCUGAAACCUCUACAGACUAAGUGUCCCUCAGAAGACCAGCCCAGCAAGAUGUACCCAGUGAGUCCUCAUAAAUCUUCCCUCUGUGAUCUGGGCUUGAGGACUAAGCACUACAGCCACAAGCCCCAAGGUGGCAGAUAAUGGAGGCUGGAACAAAGAGUGGUGUCAGGAACAGACAGGAAGAAGGAGAUGCAAACGACUUUUAGGACACAAAAUUGACCAGACCUUGGUGACUAAAACAGAAACACAGAAGACUGGAAGGUUGUUGGUAUGAGUGUGGGGUGUUCUGGCAAUGACAUUGAGAGGCAAAACAUAUGGAGAGAGGAGUUAUCUAUGUGAAAAGAAGCCUGGAAAUCUUUCACCAUCCCCGCCAAACCCAUGCUUGAAUACUGGGGACUCAGUGCCUUGGUGCACAUGGACAUCCCAGAGGUCUCUGGGCUAUAUGCAGGGCUUCCUAACUGGGAUAAUUUUAUUCACUAGUGUGGGAGCAUUUGGGAGAUAUUAAGGAUGCUGCUAAACUUGCCAUAAUGCACUAGGUAAUUCCCCACAAAACAGUUAUUUGGCUCCAAAUGGCAGUCAUACCAAGGGAAAAACCUAGCUGCAGGUGACUCAGAAUCUUAAAGGGCUCCCCCCGCCCCCGCACUUCCCCUUGGUGCUGGAGAUCGAACCAAUGGCCUUUCUCAUGCCUGACAAGUGCUGUACCAUUGAGCUAUCAUGGUAGCCCUGUCCAGGGCUUUCUUCCUGGGUGGCAAGCUGCUGUAGAAGAGGCUACCAGUGGCCUCAAUUUCAGUGAGAACUUUCAAGCACCAGGGGUAGACUCUCAGCUCCUGUACACUUGGGAGAUGUCCCUAGGGCAGUCAUAUGCCUGAGAUUCUCUUAGUUUCAUUUUUAAUUUCCUGAAGCCUGAGCUAGUUAAAUAUAGGAGCUGUUAUGUAAAAUGUGAAAGCAAUUAAUGAGACGUAUUUAAGUUACUAUAAGCUUUAUUAUUAUACUUAAUAAAGCACUAGAUUUAUGGUUAGUUAUCUAUAUAGAGAGUAGUGAGAGGGUAUGCACUCUUAUUUUAAAGGUACCACAUUAGUUUCAGUUAACUUCUUCUGUGCAUUGCCUCUGAUUUUAGGAAACACCCUUUUAUUUUUACUUUGCUAAACAUUAUGACAUCUAUACUGGAGCCCCAAAUGUGAGUGAAUCUUUUGCUAAAUGAUGAUUAGUGGUAAAUGGAGAAGAGUAAAACAUGGUCUACCACAACCUUUAUGGUAUUGUUCUUAUAGUGGAACUGAACAGAAGUUCUUCUGGUUACAAACUCUAGGCCAAGAAGCACUGUACCUGAUGGUUUCUUUUGUCUGGAAAUAACUGGAGGUAAGCGGUGGGCAUAAGUAAGCCCUGGGGGAGUUAGUUAUUGAAAGAAAGUCCAGACAAUGAAGUGAGGGCCAAAGGAUUUCAAAGUCACCAGUGGAAUGAACCCAACUGGAUUUCUGUAGAACCUUCUUGGUUUAAAGUCUUUUACCAAGUGAGUGGUAUCAGUGAUGAAAGAUCAAAGAAUCAUGGGUUUGGAAGUUUAUAGGUAAGGUCUGUGGAGGUUGUGCACUUACAUAGGUGGAAAAAAAGUAACAUUUUGCCAAGAAGGCUCUAUUGGAAAGGCAAUGGAUUCACAUGUAACUCACUAAGGCAGAUUUAAACGUCUUCAUAGAAGUGAGGUUACUGUAAAGAGAGGACAGGUUGGUGGUGGGAGGGAGGUGGCUAGAUGAGACAAGGCCAAUUUUUCAGAACUACUGAAUUCUACUUCUCCAAUGAAACUUUAUUGCCAAAGUUUCUAGGAGUUCUGGGAAGAUGGUGGUGUGGUAAAUAGCAGGAUAAAGAGCCUCUCUGAGAUUUCUUGCCCAGAUGCUAAAAUACAGCAAAGUCCAGAUGCUGGAAUAGAGCAUAGGAGGGAAGUGGGACCCCAGCACCCAGCAAGAAUCUUAAGUGAGAAUUAAAGCCCACAGGGAGAGUAAAGAGAGAGCUCUUAAUGCAGAAGAGGGAAGUGACAAGUGCUGCUUUCUCCCUGAGCCCUGGCUCACUGCAUGUGAAGAGUGGCUUGAACUUGCAGAUGCAUGGUGACCUCUCCCAAAGAUCUCUAUGGAGAAACAUACCAGUGGAACAGAGCAGUAGACAUAGCAUAUGGCAGUGGUUGAUGAAUUAUUUGGGUUCAGAUGUCCCCCAGGAGAGGGUGAUUGGCCAGUGGCAAUUUUGGAGAGGGGCCAAAUGAGCUCAGAACUCAGAGCAGCUACAGGUUGCCUCCAUCUAGCAGCUCCAAGUAUCAGGGUGAGGUGCAACUGAGUUCAAGUUUGCAGGAGGUCAUGGAGCUGAGUUUAAGCCAGCAGAAGCAUACAGAGCAUAGCAGGGUGAACAAACUGGGUUCCAGCCUCACAGCCAGAAAUCAACCUGAACUUUGGUGGAAAUAAAGGUGCAUGUUUGCUGGGAUUAUCCACUACCCUGCCAUAAAUCUAUGCGUAGCUUGCUGGGAUUAAUCAACACAGAUUUGGGCUCUGUCUCUGCUUACUCUGUCUACCAGUGAGAAAGUGGACACUUUUUCUACCUUUCUUUUUCAAGUUUUUUUGUUCUGUUCUUUUUAUUUCUUCCUUUUCUCUUUCUCUCCUGCCUUCAUCAGUUUCCUAAAGUUUUUGUAAUCUUCCAUUGUCCUUCAGCCUUGCUUCUAAUCUCUUUUUCUUCUUCUAUUUCUCUAUUUUUUCUCC